CAGAGUUAUCUAACUCCCAAACCCAUGUGAACUUACCUUUGUUGCCUCGGCAGUUUGGGCGAGCCUACCCUGUAGCGAGUUACCCUGUAGCUGCUUACCCUGUAACGACUGCCGGUGGACUACUAAACUCUUGUUAUUUUUAAGUAAUCUGAGCGUCUUAUUUUAAUAAGUCA
rnacentral:misc_RNA from 1 species